UCCAUCCAAUAUAAAGUCGCUUUAAAAUAAUGCGCAUUAAAAAGUUGAUGCGACACAAGUGAUGGAAAAGCGGUUAAGUCGCUUCAACGCCAGCUUUGUCGACCUCAUUUAUAUCGCUCUAAAAAGGUGGAUUGGCUAGAGAUAAGUCGACAUAAAAUUGAUGGAAAAGCGUUAAAGCGACGUAGGAAGUUCGUACAUGCGCAGUGCUGUUAUUAUAUGCGCGAGAAUUUGAAAGCUAAGUUUGGUCGAGAAAAGGCAGGCGUCAAGGAAUGGGGCUGGGGGAAAACGCUGUUUUGAUUUUUUCGAAGAAAUGGACCAGCUAGCUACUGGGUGCCAGGCCGGUCGUGGUUGCGAGGUCCUCUGCUGUUGACAGCACCGUUCCCCCUGAUGACCAAUCUGGUGUGGAAGACGAGAAAGAUGAUGAGGAAGAAGAGGGUGCUGAAGACUACAGUGGACAAGUGACCAUGGAGGAUUCAGAGCCCCCAGGCCCCACCCCAGCUGCAGCAGGAGGUAGUCGCCUGUUUCGCAGGCCACUGAAGAAAAAGUCUGUACUAGCUGCAUAGAGUCAGCAGCUGUCGGACUUACUGAAAAGGCAAGAGGCAGGAGGAGGAAGAUGGAGAGAUGCUAACUUAUCUGAGAACGUCCGUCAAGCGCCAGUUUGGAGCAUCAGAAUAACCCGCCCAUUACCUCUUCAAGCAGCCAAGUGGGCUUACCAUUUAAUGUUAUUUAAUAUUUAAUACUAAUUAUGAAUAUUUAUUAAAUGCAUUUUUGUGAAAAAUGCCCAUGUUUGUUUGUUUUUAAUAUACAUAUUCACUUGAUGUGAAUUCUUUCACAAAUGCAUGUGACGCAUCAGGUGACGCAUCAGGGUAUCUCUUAUUGCCGCUGCCUCAGUGUCCUCCUCAGCUGACUCGGGAUCUUCUCCUCUGCUUUAUAAUGUUAAAUUCAACUCUUCAAGUGUUAAUUCAACAGUACAUUAACACUAAAAUGAGUGGGACCAUAUGCUCUAAGCAGUGUUGACUUGAGACUGCAAAUUUUACCAUGUGAUAGGCAUACAACCUCAGACAAAAUAAAAAAUCACCUGUCAUGUAGAAUGUUCAUUCAGUUGAUGUUUUAGUCCUUUUCAGACAGGACAGGUACAGGGGUUGGCCAUGGAGGGCGGGGAGGUGUUGCUCUCACGGGUCUAGGCCUACUGUAGUAUGAUGGCCUGUAUGCUGCUCUGUGUCUGUCUGACUAGGCAGUUUUGGGUCGGGUCUGUGAUUCAUCAUUUUUCUUUAAAAAUAAAUAAAUAAAAAACCCUAAAAUCACUGAAUGAACAUCCUCCACGACAGGUGAUUCCAUACUUUUUUGCCAGGGGCUGUUUGUAAAAUUGCAAUUGUUUUGUAGUGCCUAAAGCUAACUUAAAAAGUGCUAUUGCCACCCGUUUCCCCAACGACACCUCUGCUCUCCCUGCUCGCAGGGUCAGGCCUCAUAUGUGGCUCUACAAGCACACAUAGCCUCUCUCGAAACAGAUGUUUGCUAACUCGAAAAUUUGUCAUAAACUGACGCUCCGUAGGCUAUGUUGGCACGUCCAUCUCCCACCAUAAACAGCACCUGGUGCUGCCAGGUUAGCGAUCUGCGAGUACUAGUGAAAAGCACAUCUAGGCUAUGCGAGUCGCCUUCUCCGGACUGUCAUCCUUUUCCUGAUCACAAUUAUUGCGGAUAGUAUAUUGAUUAUUAAUAACACGACACGUAGACUGUCCAUCUUGUUUUGUCGGUCAAGGCUAUAUUCUCACGCGCGAUAAAGUCUAUUUUUCUUUUGACACAAACAUUCUAAAAGAGCGACGCAGUGGAUGGAAAACGACCAAGCGCGACAGAAAUAUGUGGAUUAACGAGAGGCAUUGUGACGUAGCUUCAAUGCGCUUCAAGUACUUUUUUGAUGGAAAACGGUUCUGGUGCGACUUUUGUCGCUUUAAAUAAAAUCGACACAAGGUACAAGUCGCUUCAGAAUU